UACGUAGGGUGCGAGCGUUAAUCGGAAUUACUGGGCGUAAAGUGUGCGCAGGUGGCCGCGCAAGUCGAGUGUGAAAUCCCCGGGCUUAACUUGGGAAUUGCGCUCGAAACUACGUGGCUCGAGUGUGGCAGAGGAAGGUGGAAUUCCACGUGUAGCGGUGAAAUGCGUAGAGAUGUGGAGGAACACCUAUGGCGAAGGCAGCCUUCUGGGCCAACACUGACGCUCAUGCACGAAAGCGUGGGGAGCAAACAGG
rnacentral:rRNA from 1 species